GUCGAGCUAAGUAACGAGAGCUUGUGACCCGAGUGGGGAUAAUAAGAUGGUGGAACACUGGUUUGGUCCACGGGUCGGGUCUGUUGUGUGGCGAGUUUCUGAGCUGGCCCAGUCCAAGCUGAGAGUUAUCUGUCUGGUUUGAGCGUAGGCUCGGGUCAGGUGGGCACUAAAGUUGGAGGGUAAUGCGUUAGGCUGGUUUCACAGAGCAGCGACUACUUCCCGCUCUCUGCAGUGGACGGAUAACAGCUCGGCCCUGCUCAGACCCACUAUGGCCUGCUGGUUCGUUCUCAGCUGAACCACCAUUUUU
rnacentral:SRP_RNA from 1 species